UUGUUUUUGUUUUCUUUCAGGAACGUCUGGAUUCAGAAACAGAAAGUAACAUGGCAGAUAUGCAUUCAUUUAAAGCAAGUGAAGUGAAACCCUUGAAAAGUACGAACAACUAAACCAAGAAUUAGGAUACACAUCAUGGGAUAUUGACGUCAAUGGAAACAAAAUGUGUGUACUAGUUGAUCGCAGGAAUAUUAAUGAAAAAAUUUAAAGACAUUCAGUGAUGGGGAUGAAGUGGAGGCCUUAUCGAUAAAUAAAGAGUCCGCAGUUCAGGAAAUGGUACAGCGCUGAGAGUAUUUUGGAAGUUAAGAAAGGUGAAAUGUAUAAAGUGAGAUUUCAUGAAGAUGGGUCCUAGUAAGUCCGGAACAUGGCUCGUAUUCGAAGAAAAAUUGUGAUUGAUUGUAAAAGCAAUUUACAUGAAAUAUAGUUUGAGCUUUUAAUCAAAA